UCAGCCAAGUUAUAAAGUAGCUAAGAAAAGAUGGGGUACCCGUAGGCUCAAUUCACCUUGUUUCCCCUCUAGAAAAUCUUGGAUGCAAUUCUUCCCAAUCAACAAGUCACCUAUUUCUGCUGGGAACUGUUAUUUCUGACACCUUCAGAAACUGAAUCUUGGAGACAGGAAUUAAAGAUUUAUUGGACUAGCUGCAGACUGAACAAUUUAGUUAUCAGUGCCUUCCCCUGAGUGGAAAGUGAGUUAUUUUAGACUGUGCCGCUUAACCAGUCCUUCUCUAGUCAGAACAACAACCUGGCAUCCCCAUGUCCUCCUCUUUCUGUGCUUUCCUGUUCAGUGUGGAGUUUGAGCUGUGUGCUGCUGUGGGAUGACACAGGUGGUACUUUGUUACAGAGAAGUAGGAUUGACUCACAGCCUCACUGAUUGACCACCGUCUCCUAUGUUCUAUACUGGUAUUAGCCGAACUGUCUAUUCCAUAUUCUCUGUUCCCUUGGUAAGGGGGUGGUAGAAUACCUGAAAAUAGGAGUUUAAAACAAACAAAUCCCUCAAGGAUUCUAACAGGAUUAAUCUCUGUAGAUGUCUUUGUGAAGAUUUCACAAAGUACGGAAAUACUACAGUCACAAUGAUGGAAAGCUUUUGAAUUCUGCUACUUAGAAUAAAACUUUGGAAUACCGCUUUUAUAUAAGAGUC
rnacentral:lncRNA from 1 species